rnacentral:lncRNA from 1 species
CGGUGCAUCUAAUCCCGACGGUGGUGGCUUGUGGUCGUGGCACCGCCGGGGUUCCAGGUCUCUCUCUCUCUUUAAAUCGUCCGCCGUCGUGCCGCCUCCAACGCCGUGUCGCCGAUCCCCUCGCUGCUGCUGCCGUCAACUUUCUCUCUUGUUGCGGAAAUCUGACGACUAAGAGCGACCGUCGGAGUUCCAGACCUCCAAUUUGGGUGAAAUAGAAG